rnacentral:rRNA from 1 species
CCUACGGGUGGCUGCAGUGGGGAAUAUUGGACAAUGGGCGAAAGCCUGACCCAGCCAUGCCGCGUGUGUGAAGAAGGCCUUCGGGUUGUAAAGCACUUUCAGUGGGGAAGAAAGCCUUGGGGCUAAUACCCUCGAGGAAGGACAUCACCCACAGAAGAAGCACCGGCUAACUCCGUGGCCAGCAGCCGCGGUAAUACGGAGGGUGCGAGCGUUAAUCGGAAUUACUGGGCGUAAAGCGCGCGUAGGCGGUCUGAUAAGCCGGUUGUGAAAGCCCCGGGCUCAACCUGGGAACGGCAUCCGGAACUGGCAGGCUAGAGUGCAGGAGAGGAAGGUAGAAUUCCCGGUGUAGCGGUGAAAUGCGUAGAGAUCGGGAGGAAUACCAGUGGCGAAGGCGGCCUUCUGGACUGACACUGACGCUGAGGUGCGAAAGCGUGGGUAGCAAACAGGAUUAGAUACCCCAGUAGUC